GAUCAUUACCGAGUAACGAACUUCGGUUCAAACUCUCGUCCUCUGUGCACUAAGUCAUAUUUCGAAGUUUCUGAAGUUUCAAACUUUAGAAUUCGACUUCGAAAAAUUUAUUAAAUCUUUAUUUUGAAAAUCUGAGAUAUCUAAAUGAUAUAAAACUUUCAACAACGGAUCUCUUGGUUCUGGCAUCGAUGAAGAACGCAGCGAAAUGCGAUAAGUAAUGUGAAUUGCAGAAUUCAGUGAAUCAUCGAAUCUUUGAACGCACAUUGCGCCCAUUGGUAUUCCGAUGGGCAUGCCCGUUCGAGCGUCAUUUCAAUCUCAAGCCUAAGCUUGGUCUUGGAAAUGAUAUUAUUAAUAUCAUUCCAGAAACUUAUUGGCAGUACGACUUAGCCUUCAACGUAGCAAUGCUUCCGUUAGGUGGUGAAAGUUUGAACUUGCAAAAAAUCUAUCUUUGAAAUUUUGACCUCGGAUCGGGUAAGAAUACCCGCUGAACUUAAGCAUAUCAAUAAGCGGAGGAAAAGAAACCAACAGGGAUUGCCUCAGUAACGGCGAGUGAAGCGGCAAAAGCUCAAAUUUGAAAUCUGGCAACAGCCCGAAUUGUAAUUUGAAGAGGAUGUUCUGGAGAUUUUCUAGGUACAAGUUCCUUGGAACAGGACGUCAUAGAGGGUGAGAAUCCCGUACGUGACUUAGAAAUUAUCCGUGUAGAACUCCCUCGACGAGUCGAGUUGUUUGGGAAUGCAGCUCUAAAUGGGAGGUAAAUUUCUUCUAAAGCUAAAUAUUGGCCAGAGACCGAUAGCGCACAAGUAGAGUGAUCGAAAGAUGAAAAGCACUUUGAAAAGAGAGUUAAAAAGUACGUGAAAUUGUUGAAAGGGAAGCGUCUGCCCCCAGACAUGAAUUUAGUUGCUCAGCCGGUCUUUGCCCGGUGCACUCUUCUAUAUUCAGGCCAACAUCGGUUGAAGUGAGUGGAUAAAGGCAAUGGGAAUGUAUCUCUUCGGAGUGUUAUAGCCCUAUGCACAAUGCACCCUACAUCGACCGAGG
rnacentral:rRNA from 1 species